CAACGUAAACAACCUGCCUUCAGGAUGGGGACAACAGACGGAAACGACUGCUAAUACCGAAUAAGUUCCAAGAGCCGCAUGGCCCAUGGAAGAAAAGGUGGCCUCUACCUGUAAGCUAUCGCCUGAAGAGGGGUUUGCGUCUGAUUAGCUGGUUGGAGGGGUAACGGCCCACCAAGGCGACGAUCAGUAGCCGGUCUGAGAGGAUGAACGGCCACACUGGAACUGAGACACGGUCCAG
rnacentral:rRNA from 1 species